AUACUAAGGGGGCUAGCGUUGUUCGGAAUUACUGGGCGUAAAGCGCGCGUAGGCGGAUUGGUCAGUUAGGGGUGAAAUCCCAGGGCUUAACCCUGGAACUGCCUCUAAUACUGCCAGUCUUGAGUUCGGGAGAGGUGAGUGGAAUUCCUAGUGUAGAGGUGAAAUUCGUAGAUAUUAGGAAGAACACCAGUGGCGAAGGCGGCUCACUGGCCCGAUACUGACGCUGAGGCGCGAAAGCGUGGGGAGCAAACAGGAUUAGAAACCCUAGUAGUCC
rnacentral:rRNA from 1 species